UACGUAGGGGGCUAGCGUUGUCCGGAUUUAUUGGGCGUAAAGAGCGUGUAGGCGGCCAGAUAGGUCUGCUGUGAAAACUCGAGGCUCAACCUCGAGAUGUCGGCGGAAACCAUUUGGCUAGAGUCCGGAAGAGGAAAGUGGAAUUCCUGGUGUAGCGGUGAAAUGCGCAGAUAUCGGGAGGAACACCAGUAGCGAAGGCGGACAC
rnacentral:rRNA from 1 species